UAGGAUCCUCAGAUCUCAGCCUUUGGUAUAGCUAGGAUUACACAUGGGAGCCACCAGCACCUGCCUAUCUGUCACAUAUAAUCACAGAAGAUGAACAGGGACAUGUUACACAAACACUAAGGUCUUUGUGUUUGCCCCAAUCUCCUUUCAGAGACCAAGAAGUUGAGCAUUCUCACAGUGACUUGUCUCUGCAAUCCCUUCAUUCUUCAUUGGGCCUUGCUAUAAUUUGCAGUUCUUGGCAAGGCAGGGGGUGGGAGGGUGGUUUUUUUCUUCAAGUCUAGCUCCAGAGAAAACUGGCAUUUGUUGGAGAUAACUGUCUCAGACAGCCUGGUUCUCCUUUUGCAAUCAGCCAUACAUUUCAGUAAGAAAUUUCAGAGAACUUUACUGCUUCCCUUUUUAAUUAAGGGGGUCCAGGAUCUAAGUUUCUCAUAACUGAUACCAUCUAGUUAAAUUAUCUAGUGUAUAUUAUGUUCUGCUUCCUACAUACUAGUGGAAAACAAGAGGAAGAAUAGCUUCCUUGGAGAGAUUUUCUUCUUAGAGAAAUUGAAAAAUGAUUAUAUCUUCUACUACUUCCCUAUUUUUAUUCUUUUUCAAAUCAGUGAAGAAAAUCUAGCUAAUUUUUACUUUGUAAGAAUCUAUAACAUUGUAGCAAAACUACCUAGAAAAACCUAAAUGCCAACUGUUCUGUGGUGUUAAGAAUUGCUAUGGGCCGGGUGUGGUGGAGUCUGCUUUUGGAUCCUCAGUUCAUAGCCAGCCUGGGCUGCAUUGCUAUGACCUAAAUCUCAAGGUGCCUUUCCACUCCUAGUGGUGUUGGUUUUCAUGUCUAUCUGUAUUAAUUGUAUGGUUAGAGAGUUUAGUUUUCCCUUUCUGACUACCUAGACUUAGAAAGAUUAAGAACUGUUGAGUGUUUCACACAGGUCCAGAUUGUGAAGAAAGAAGUAUGAAAAUGGUUAUAACUGAGAAUCUAUAGAUUUUUUUUCAGCCUCAGAACUUAUAGGUCCCUGCUAUCUGCUUAACUAGAAGCUCAGAGCCAGCUGCCAUCUUAAUCCAGUAAGCCGGCUAAUCAAAAUGCCCUUCAUGUGGACAAGCUUGCCCCUUCUUCUCCUCUGCUUUAUCCACAUGAAAUGUGGGCUCUGGCUGCUAGCCCAGUGCUAUGUGUCCAGCCAGAUAGCCCAGUCAGAAGCCUAGCUCACCACUACCACUACCACACAGCAGACAUACGAAACCCCUUUGCUUUACUUCUACGAUGAAUCUUUUUGUUGUUUCCAGUGUCUUCUGUUUUCUACACAGUUUUUUGCCAUAGAUUGAGUCUUUCCUAAGGGAGAAUCAAAGGGAGCCAGUAUCCACUACAAGUGAUUCUUCUUGUCUUCUUUGGUGAAGCUGGAUACUUCACAUUCACUGUCCACCCAAGGGUGGCUUGGGUUGACAUGGAGCUGUGGACAAAGUUUUGUUUACGAUAUAGGACACAUGAUAAGUGGCCUUCAACUGUUAUUCUUUCUGGUAUGAUGAAUCACAACAAACUGACCGUAAAGAAUGCAGUGACUCUCAUGCUGCAGUUCCUGUCCUUAGUGAAGCCGUACCUGAAGCUCUGUUCUGUCGGAGCUAUGAUGGACAGGUUGAAUGAAAGGUACAAAGAAGGGCCAUGCCCCAAAGUGCUUCCAGGUGCAGGUCUGGCUGAGUGAGUUCGUCUAUGCAUGGGGAGACUCCACUCACGCUCUGCCUUUUCCAUCACAGUUGACAGGUUUCCUAUGCAAAGCUUUGUUGCUUAGUCUAGACAAGUCCUAGAUGGAGCAUGCCACCAACUAAGGUGGAGUGGUAGUGACUUGUCUUCAUCCUGAACCUUGUUAUCCCAGGAUCAUUUCUGAGUGGUUGGGGUUGGUGAGAGCUAUCAGUCACCGUGUCAGUCCACCCAGCAUUCCCAUGGUCUUGAUGAUCCCUCUGUGUCUAAAAGCAGUUAAUGAGAAAAGGGGAGGAGAAGGAGCGGUGCUCAGGGAGAACUGACCCAUGUUCUGUUGUUGGUUCAUAUUUUUCCAUUGACCAAGUUACUGUAAACUGGAAUCCGCAAGGAGUGCUGUGAUGAUGCCCUCUUUCCAUUGUAAUGGCCUAAAUCUGGGGGUGUGAGAGAAGGGGAAGUGUAAAUAAAAACUUUUAAUUUUAGUAAUGUGUUAAAA